GGUUAAGUUAUCAAGGGCGCACGGUGAAUGCCUUGGCACUAGGAGCCGAUGAAGGACGGGACGAACACCGAUAUGCUUCGGGGAGCUGUAAGCAAGCUUUGAUCCGGAGAUUUCCGAAUGGGGAAACCCACUGCUCGUAAUGGAGCAGUAUGCAUAUCUGAAUUCAUAGGAUAUGAGAAGGCAGACCCGGGGAACUGAAACAUCUAAGUACCCGGAGGAAGAGCAAGCAAAUGCGAUUCCCUGAGUAGCGGCGAGCGAAACGGGAGUAGCCCAAACCAAGAGGCUUGCCUCUUGGGGUUGUAGGACAUUCUAUACGGAGUUACAAAGGAACGAGGUAGACGAAGCGACCUGGAAAGGUCCGUCGUAGAGGGUAACAACCCCGUAGUCGAAACUUCGUUCUCUCUUGA
rnacentral:rRNA from 1 species